rnacentral:rRNA from 1 species
GUCUUUUUGAAUUUUAUUUAAAGUCUAAUCUGCCCACUGAUUAAAUUAAAUGGCCGCAGUAUUCUAACUGUGCAAAGGUAGCAUAAUCAUUAGUUUUUUAAUUGAAAGCUUGUAUGAAUGAUUGGACGAGAUAUUAGCUGUCUUAUUUAAAAAUUUUGAAUUUUAUUUUUUAGUUAAAAAGCUAAAAUGUUUUUAAAAGACGAGAAGACCCUAUAGAUCUUUAUAAUUUAUUUUAUAUUAUUUUUUUUGGUUUUAUUAUAAUAUUAUAAAAUAGAUUAUUUUGUUGGGGUGACAGCGAAAUUUAUUUAACUUUUGUUAUUUUUUAACAUAAAUUAAUGAAUUUUUGAUCCUUUAAUAUAGAUUAAAAAUUUAAGUUACCUUAGGGAUAACAGCGUAAUUAUUUUGGAGAGUUCUUAUCAAUAAAAUAGGUUGCGACCUCGAUGUUGGAUUAAGAUUAAUUUUUGGUGCAGAAGCUAAAAAUAUUAAGUCUGUUCGACUUUUAAUUUCUU